ACGAAGGUAAGAAGUAAAGCUGUUUUUCUACUCAGUGCACAUCCUUGUUUGUGAAUUUCCUUUUCUGCUGUAGCGCUAGCUGCAUUUUACCACUUUGCUAAAUGCUAAAGUUACGGACAGAGACACGUUAGCAGAGGUGCUAAUGUGAGCUACGAGUUUGUUUUCAGUGCAGUUUCAUAAGCAAGCGAACCUUUUUCUGUCUUUUUGGUUUGUUUUGUUUCAUAUAUAAACAAAACACUAUAUAUAAACACUAUGUAUGUAGUGUUUGUGUGUGAAAGUAGCUGUGCUAUAGCUAUGGAGUAAGGGCUGGGAAAAUGGGGCACAGUGUAAACUGAAUAAACCGUGUUUAGUCGCGUUGUGUUGCGUUGUUGUUGUAUUAGCUCGGCUAGCUGAUGGUGCUCAGAGAUGAGUGUGUGUUUUAGAGAGCAGGACAAACACAAAAAAUAAUAAUAAUGCAGGGAAAUAUCACUUUUGAGCUCAUACACUGAAUAUGGGGUAGAAAUAUUGGAUAUGUAGACUGUAUUUGGGAUCUGUUAUUGUUUAAAAACAGAGAUUCUGUUCUUGUGAUUAAUCUUUCUAUUUGUACAGAUUCACAAUGUAUCCUGUAUGCUGGUAAACUCAGUUAUUUCUCUAAAAAUAAACCUUUUUACAUCAUCAGAGAUCUUGGUGUUGGAUUAUUUUAGAUCCUCAGAAGACUGGCUCAUUUUGGAGCCAAGCAGAGCUGCAUGGAUUUUGAGUUGUUGUUGUUUAAUGAAGGUUUCCCACAUUAUGCUGUGUGAAAUGUGAAUGUAAAGAGUUCUCAUUUCUCAGCUGUUGAAUGCAGAUUUAUUGCGUUUCACAAGUCCUGGUGAAGGAGCUCACAAGUGGGCUUGCUGUAUAAGAUGAUGGCCCGAGGCAGUCCAGUCUUCAUGCUUUAAUUCACGAGGUUCAUUAGUUCUGUGCUGGUUUAGUAAUUUCCCUCAGUGACGGGGAGCAGGAUGGAGGAUGGUAACACUGUUCACUUGGUGCAGUGAAAUGAAAUGUACACUGCACUGCAGAGAAGAUACCUGCUGUAAUUCCCAGCACAUAUUCAAGCACAUUCUGUACGUCAGCAGUACCUACGGACACUUACAUGCAGCAUAACAAUCUGUAAAUAAUCAGGAUUAAAACAUUCAUGUGUACACCUUCAUCAGAAUGGAGUAAACCGAUUAAGAGUGACCUGAAUGAAAUUUGGUUGUUAAUAUUUUAGAAACGUUAGAGCAUUCUGAACAUCAGCAGUACCUAUGUACACUUACAUAAAGCAUAACAAUCUGUAAAUAAUCAGGAUUAAAACCUUCAUGUUUACACUUGCAUUGGAAUAGAGUAAACCGAUUAAGAGUGACCUGAAUGAAAUUUGGUUGUUAAUACUUUACAAAAGUUAGAGUAUUCUGAAGAUCAGCAGUACCUAUGUACACUUACGUGCAGCAUAAUAAUCUUUUAAUAAUCAGACCUAGCUUAAUCAGAAUUAAAACAUUCAUGUUUACACCUUAAUCGGACUAGAGUAAACUGAUUAAGAGUGAUCUGAAUGACAUUUGGUGGGUAAUUGUUUUAGUAAUAUGUUAAAUAGAAGUAUAGUAGGUCUCUCUCAGGGAUCUGUACAUGUGCAUUUGGCUCAUGAUGCUCUCCUUGUGCCAAAAAAAAUGUAAUAAAACCCUUUAUUUCUUGUUUGGUUAUUCCCAAACAGUGGCUUAUGAUGUUGGUUACACUAGAACACCAGUAAAGGCGUUAUGCUGGUGGUUACUCUGCUGGUGUGGAUUUCAUGUUAUUUUCAACAACCUCGUCAGUCCAGAUUGUGGUACAAAUACAAACCAUUGACCGUGCUCACAAACUCUUCUUUUCGCUGUCUGGUUAAUAGUCACACCUGGAUGAGGUUUUAUUGUGACGGAAAUUUAAAACUCAAGCAACGUGAUUACAAGCCGAAAGCGCCGAUGGAACUCAAGCGAUUCUUGUUGUUAUGGUAACGCUGGCGCUAAACCUCUCUCCUCGCAUGCGCAUAACUUUGGAUUGGAUUACAUUUAGCAUACAUGUAAAAGCAUAUAAAUCAGAUAGGCGAAAAUCUUUGUAAACUUCGCCUCUCUAAUCGUUCACCAUCUGUUUCCCUCUCGUCCGUUUCUACGUAUACAUUUUAAAUCGCGAUCCUGUUUAUGUUCUAUGAUUUGGAGUAGGGUUCCCGGCUGCAGUCUGACUUUAGGAUCAAUAAUUUCACUGAUUAUCACUAUUCUUAUUUGCAGAUGGAGCUUCCUGUUCUUCAGAUCUAAGCUGAUUAUUAGUUUAAAGGGAAGUUGAGUUGUGUAUUGUCUUGGUGUGUGUUGUGACAGUUGUUUCUUAAGUGUCUGUUCCUCAGUCCCUCACGUGUGCCACGUUCAAGAUGGAGCUAGUCUUGUUGUCUGGUUCCACGGUGUGAAGCAGAGACAGGAAAUGGAGUCCUGGUCUAGGUUGGGAGGUCAGGAGCUGUUACUGAAGACUGGAGUUUCUCGUAACGAUGACUUUACCUCACUGUUGCUUCACUUUUAUUAAAUAAUGCCUUUUGAAUGUGAGAACCGAGAAAACUUGCUAUAGCUUAGUAGCAGUCAUAACAGAAUACAAAAUGUUUAUGAAGUUCUGCUUGUCCGGUGAUGCGUAUUUGGUGAAAUGAGUCGGUGCUGCAGUUCAUUUAUAGUUAAGAUCCUCUUCAGAGAGAAUUCAUACAAAAAAUAUGGUCACUUAUUUGAAAUACAUUGUGAUAGGAAAUAAUCAUGAACAUUUAAUACUGAAACAUACCUUUAAGUGAAUGUACGUCUCUGUCGAAUAAUAAUUUGGAAUGUGAACAUUUUUUAAUUUUUUAUUUUUUGCCUGGCAGUGAAGGCUUGUGUGUGUGUAUUUUUUUAUUUUACUUUUUUUUUUAAGUGUCUGACUCAUGUGCUCUGUAGAAAUUGCGUAACAUUUGAACUAGUUAAGCCAUCAAGUGCUUUCCCACGAUUUUGUCACAUCUGACAGAGAGUGAAAACUUACUGUUCCGUAACACGUUUCAUUGUAUCUAUUGUAUCAUUUUUGUAAAUAGAGUUGUUUAAAUGCAUUUUGUAGGGUUUUUGUUUGUUUGUUUGUUUAAGAACAAUAAUAUCUUCAGCAGCUCUGUUUCUGUUUUAAGGACUAGCGAUGGAAAUAGUGAAACUGGAAUUUGGCACACGCCUAAUAAGCAGCAUAAUAAUUCACAUGAUUAGGCUGCUAAUAUUCAGGGAGAAGCCUCUGGGGGGGAAAUACAAGCCAGUUCCACAGUUUUCCUCUCAAAAACUUUCCUGCAAACUGUAAAUAGCUUGCGACAGACUAGAUAACACAGAUAGAUGUUUUUACCGAAAACGAUAUUAAAUGAAACAGAGAACGGUUUCACUAGCGUAGCACAUUUUAAUAGGUGACAUCUGGUUCUCUAAUUAAGUUGAAAUGUUUAUUCUGCCAGAAUCCUUGGACUGAUUCCAAAGAAAAAUAAUCUGCACAUCAUCCUUGGAAGCCUGUGAUUCACGGCUGGAUAAACGUCUGAGGUUUUUCCCUUCUCACUGCUUACUGAUGAUGUGAAGCUAACAUUAGUCGCACGUUUUAUCGGCUUCUGUCAGAAGCUGCGUCAUGUAUAAAUCAAACCUCGGCACCCCCAACAAAACGAGAUAUCCUAACUGAGCAUUGCUGUGGGAGGUGAGAGAGGAUUUCAGUUUCUGCACUGGAAGGGAGCCAUGGGGUUUUUUGGAAACAUUUUGAGGUGGUCGUCUUUGCACAAUAUGGGAACAAUCCUCUGGCUUCACUUUAAAAACAGUUACAGAACCAUAAAGGCUUUGAGAGUUUGUGAAAUGUUCAAUGUUUUCAUUUUUCUAAAUCAGCAAGAAAUGUGUAUAAGCACCUGGUUUGAUUUAAGGUUUUGGACAUAGUUCUGCCUAAAAUUCUUGACUUGUAAGAUGGGAGGGUUAAAUUCUGUAACAGUUACAGGCUUCCAUCAUGGAAACUUGACUUUGUUUAUGUCAUAUCUAUAGACAGCCUGUUUUGCUGAGUUGUUUAUUUUUUUGUGGGCAAGAUGGGCAAAAUUGUGAAUUUAACUACUAAGUAGUUUUAGUGCUUGUGGUUUAACUGUGACUUAGAAACAAAAUUGAGAAGCGACCGGCUCUGUCAGUAGACGUGCACCGCAGAAGAGGCAUGUUUACAGCUUUAGGUUUUAGGUUUGCAGCUUAUAAUUGAUUUUGCCCUUACUCUGCAUGUAAAAUAACUCCCAAACUGAUGCCUGCAGCUAGAACUGUGGAAACUUGGGUGUCUGAUUUGGCUGUGGGGAAACUGGUGUGUGUGUGUGUGUUUGAGUGUGUGUGUGUGUGUGUGUGUGUGUGUGUGUGAGAGAGAGAGAGAGAGAGACGUGGUGUUUUCUUCCCCUCUCAACACAGUGACAUGUUCAUCAGUAUGGUUUAAAAAGCAGAAUGUAUCCCAUUACUGUCCCUGCAAAUCUCACUAUUGUUUACAGACGCAUUGUGUGCAUGUGUGUGUUUCAGUUUUGUCUUCUGAGUUGUUAAAGCCCUGCUCUUUUUAUUCCUUCUGCCGUUCUUUGAAUCUGUUCAACAGAAGGCUUGAAAUUGUGAUGUGGGUUUAUGUAGCAGUUCUGUAUUGUGGCCAUUAGCUUGUCUCAUGAAUCCUCCCCUUUUCCGUAAUGCUUUCGCAAAAUGUUAUCCUAGAAACUGAAUUUCCUUUCUCCGAGUGAAGCACUUCCUCCCACUGACCUCCGUAACACAUAAUUACCUCUGUGAUUUGAGUUCACCCGGGUAUCAUCUUUAACCUCACACGUUUACAUGCUAACAGGUCACAAUUUCAAGCCUUUAUUUAAUUUUUUGUUUUAAUCCUUUUUCAAUAUGCAUAAAUCUGACAGUAGAUGUUUCUUGGAAAAUGAUUCAUAAAGCAUGUAGAGCUAUUCUUAAAUGGUGAGAAAUAACCUAUUUAUUAUCUUUUUUCCGACACCUGUGGUAUGUUUGAGUUGGAGGUCUCCGCUGUGUAAAUUUUCCUCUUGUAAUGAGUAAAGAACCGAGACGUUGUACAUAAAGCUGUAUAUAAUCUCCCAGGACCUUUUGCACCCUUCUCUUUGUACUAGUCUGAUCUUGCGUAGAAUGUGGGGUUCUAACAGCAAUGAGACGCUGCAGGUGAUGUAAUAAAGUCACUUCUUUCCUUUUCUUUUUAUUUUCCUUUUGUACAAUGUAGUUGAAUUGUGUACAUAUUGUUGGAGCAGCUAUGGGAGGGAGGGGUUUGUCGAUGCUAUCGUCAGUGCUGUCAGAGACCCAGUACUUUCACCUCUAGCUGUGUCGAUAUCCUGCAAUUCAAACGCGAGAAACUAAAAAUGAAAAACAAAAAAAAAAGUAAAUGGAGUAAAAAAUUCAAAAUUGUUAUUUUCUACA